UGAAGUUGGAGUUGCUAGUAAUCGCGGAUCAGCAUGCCGCGGUGAAUACGUUCCCGGGCCUUGUACACACCGCCCGUCACACCAUGGGAGUUGGGAGCGCCCGAAGCCGGUGAGGUAACCGAGAGGAGCCAGCCGUCGAAGGUGAGACCAAUGACUGGGGUGAAGUCGUAACAAGGUAAC
rnacentral:rRNA from 1 species